rnacentral:rRNA from 1 species
CUACGUGCCAGCAGCCGCGGUAAUACGGAAGGUCCGGGCGUUAUCCGGAUUUAUUGGGUUUAAAGGGAGCGUAGGCCGGAGAUUAAGUGUGUUGUGAAAUGUAGACGCUCAACGUCUGACUUGCAGCGCAUACUGGUUUCCUUGAGUACGCACAACGUUGGCGGAAUUCGUCGUGUAGCGGUGNAAUGCUUAGAUAUGACGAAGAACUCCGAUUGCGAAGGCAGCUGACGGGAGCGCAACUGACGCUUAAGCUCGAAGGUGCGGGUAUCAAACAGGAUUAGAUACCCUGGUAGUCCGCACAGUAAACGAUGGAUGCCCGCUGUUGGUACCUSGUAUCAGCGGCUAAGCGAAAGCAUUAAGCAUCCCACCUGGGGAGUACGCCGGCAACGGUGAAACUCAAAGGAAUUGACGGGGGCCCGCACAAGCGGAGGAACAUGUGGUUUAAUUCGAUGAUACGCGAGGAACCUUACCCGGGCU